rnacentral:lncRNA from 1 species
AGAGAUUUGGGCCCAAAUCUGGUUUUUCUGUCCGCCUGGGCCAAUUCUUGGGCCCAUUUCGUUUUGGGCCUUAGACCCAUUUGAGUCACCUGCACCUGUCCUAAACUAACAAUAUAAUAGCAAAUAAGUGGGCUUAGGUCCGAUUCCACCUGUCCUAAAUUCUAACAAUAAUAUCAAUAAAUAAAAUGACGAGGGCUUAGGCCCAAAAUAACAAAAUACAUCUUUUGGGAAUUAAGAGUGGGCCUUUGGCCCAAUUUUUUUACUUUCUCGAUCUGUCGCAUAUUCUUUCAACUCCGGGACCUGUUCGUCAAUUUUUAGGGCUGGCCGACUCGGAAAAAAAUAGAAUUUGAGCCUUUAUGGCUCUCCCGAAAUGCAAGAAAGAAGGUAGGAGUUCGUAGCGAACUCGAGCGAAUUUCACAUGCAAAGAAAGGAAAUAAAAUUAGAGCGAAAAUAAUUGGCAACACCUAACAAUUGGUAGCAAUUGAUCUUUAAAGUACGACAAAGAAAAAGAUAAAGCUUAAGGCAAAAUUAUAUACAUGAAUGACAUAAACUAAAAAAAAAUAGAAAUUUUUUUUAUAAAUAAAUAUAAUAGACAUCUAACAUGAUUCCAAAUAACUAAGGCAAAACAAAUAAGUUAGGCAUGUGGACAAACUACUAUUACAAACAAACGGACUAAUACAACAACUUAUGCAAGCGAUGAAAUCAAAAUGACGCCACAUCGUGACAUAAAAUAAGCAACCAUAAAUGAUCAGAUUAGCAACAGAUUUGAGAAAAUAAAUCUACUCACCCCAAAUGUAUACAUUUAUUCAAUAGUCAGUUAAGCAUAGAGCAUCCAUGAAUAUUAUAUGCUAAAGAACGAAAGAAAG